UACAGAGGUCUCAAGCGUUGUUCGGAUUCAUUGGGCGUAAAGGGUGCGUAGGCGGCGCGGUAAGUCGGGUGUGAAAUCUUGGAGCUUAACUCCGAAACUGCAUUCGAUACUGCCGUGCUUGAGGACUGGAGAGGAGACUGGAAUUUACGGUGUAGCGGUGAAAUGCGUAGAUAUCGUAAGGAAGACCAGUGGCGAAGGCGGGUCUCUGGACAGUUCCUGACGCUGAAGCACGAAGGCCAGGGGAGCAAGCGGG
rnacentral:rRNA from 1 species